GACCUAUUUCUAAUUUAUUUCCUUCUUAUGGAUGGCAUAAUUUCUCAACAUAACACCUCAAAACUUACACAUCCUUAAAUAUUAAAAUGUAAUACAAAGGUAAGCAAUAUUUUAAAUAUUGAAUCGUUAGAUACAUGAGGUGUAUGACUUGACACAUUCCAUGAGAGAAAAAUUCAUUUGUCUAUUUAUUCAGAUGAAGCAACGAUGAAGGCUGAAUGUCUCACGCCUGUAAACCCCAGCACUUUGAGAGGCUGAGGCCGACAGAACACUUGCGCCCAACAGUUCAAGACCAGCCUGGGCAACAAGGCAAAACCCCGUCUCUACAGAAACUACAGAAAUCAGCCCAGCAUGGUGACACAGGUCAACGGUCAAAACGACUUGGAUGGCUGAAGUGUGAGGAUCACCUGAGCCCAGGAAAUGGAGAUAGGAGUGAGCCAAGGUCUCGCUGCCGCACUCCAGCCUGCGUUACAGAGUGAAUCCCCCUCUCAAAAAACAGCCGUGAAAAUGCUGCUUACACGGAAGACUGUGUUCUAGGUACUCCAGGAUACACACAAAUAUGUUUGCUGACCUCCAGUGGCCCAUGAUUCCACUUCUGCAAGGCUCCACAGAAGUCUCCAACCUUCAAAUCUUCAGUCUCUGAAAGCACUGAUUCCUGAAAGGAUGGCCUCAAAUGACCAAGUAUACGAGCUGUCUAUAUCCCUGCUCCUGAAAAACAAGCUAACUGGACUCUCCAUCACCUGCCCCCAGCACAGACGCACUACCAGCUACCCAGCUGAACUCCAUGACUGACUUGCCAUCCAAUCAUGCCCCUGACCCAGCCUACAUGAACAAGGGAAGGAACAUCAGCGAAUUAGGAAAAGAGGCAGAGGUGAGGAGACCACCUGUCCUGGGCCACAGAGCUAUGUAGAGUUCAGCAAUCUCUAGCCCCUUAGUAUUCCAGGGGCUCUAAACCACCUUCUGUAAGUCAGGAUGGAAGUAGAUGGUGCCACGAAGAUUUCUCUCUGCUGUAGCCACUCCUUCAGUGUCUCAAAAUGUUUUAACAUCUUUCAGUAAAAACCUGUCAGUCCUUGAUAAAUUUAAAAAAAAAAAAGGCGGCAAAGUUUUUAGAGCUCCCUUGAACCUUCUAUUUUAAGGUGCCUUUGUAGAUAAUUCCCAUCAUUCUGUGUGUCGGUCAUCUUUGGAAUUUAUCGAUCGAUCAUUGUUUCUCUUCAAACUUGGCCUUGCCCUGCCCAUUCCAUUCUUACCCGCUUUCAUUGGCUUCACUAGUCAAUUCCACACUCAUUCUAGACACUGGGUGCACGAGACACACUCCCGUUUGUAUUACCAAAACUCAGGCCAAUAGGAUAUAAAAAGUAGGAAGAAUACUGGGAUUUAACAUGAGUACAAAUCUCAUUUCUUCCAAUUCCUAUGUCUUCUUGAAUCCUAAUCUUUCUGAGACUCAAGUUUUCUAUCUAAACGAUCCCUUGACCAGAAUGUUCAACAGACGUGACAAUACUAGAACGUGUUUUAAUUCAUUCUAAGAUUCCUUAAAAUUCUGUAAUUCUAUGUGCUUCUGAUUCUGGGAAUACAUAGCCAGCAGAAUUUGAAAAAACAAAUAGAAUUAAAGAAAUAACAAAGACAAAAAAAAAAAAACAGAAGAACGUUUUAAAAACCUCAAGACAUGAUUAUAGAAAAUUCAUGGAAAAAUAAACAAGACUACCAAAAGUAUGAUGGAAGUAAGCAGAAAUACUAGCCUAAAUGAAAGCAAAACUGAGAAAUCAAAUACUUUCUAAGACUUGCCUAAACUUGCUUUUGUAAAACUUACAGUCUCAUGGCCAAAGCUAAGUAAGAUCAGCCCUAAAACUUCUGAUGGCAAAAAGAAGAUCCCGGUUCCCACUGAAAUUGUCAAAUUUAUGAUGACAGACUCUGGACUGACCACCUUCUAACGAUAACCUUAAAUGGGUGUUGAAGGUAUUUAAACUCUCAUUAAUUUAGAUGUUAAUUAAAUUAAUGAAUGUAAUUAAGCUGCUUCAGAUGUAUACCAUGUUCCAAGUGCUGCAUGGAUGUCUAUCAACCUAUGCUGAGGAACAAGAGAAGGGAUUUGGAAGGCAGGCAGGCUGACAAUCAAAGUGGGUCAGCUACUUUGUUAACUAGAAGAUCAUGAGCCAAUUAAUCCACUGCUCCAACCCAUACUCGUUUUUUAAACAAACAGUAGUUGAUAGGAACACAGAUGUUGUGAUGGCUUUAUGAGACGAUAAGUGCCAUAGGAUGUCUACCCUGAAUACAACACUCAACAGAUGUUAGUUCCUUCCACCUGUAUUUCCUUGGUUAACAUAAUUUUUUAAAUCUGUACAAUCCUACCUGACUGCAGAUUCAUCAGAACUUCCAACAUCUAUUAAAGAAACAGGCAAAAUGCAUUUUAAAUCAAUAAUAAAGGUACAGAAUAUUAAAAGCAUAAGAAGGCCCAGUGAUGCAUGCCUGUAAUCCAAACUACUCAGGAGGCUGAGGCAGGAGGAUCACUCGAGGAUCCCAGAAGUUUGAGACCAGCUUGGGAAACAAAGCAAGACUCUACCUUAGUAAGAAAAAAACUUGUGCACACCUGUGUGUAUGCUUUAGGUCCUGUUUUUGUUCUUGUUUGUUUUGUUUUGUUUUGUCUUUUAAAGCAUAAGACUGACGCUUUGUUACAAAGCAUUCCUUUGGGAGCUCGCCUGGGACCUUAUUAGAAUAAACAUUAAUCAUAAUUAGUGGUAUUUAAUUAAUGCAACAAGAAAUGUUACUUCCCAGUGUAUUUACUAAAUGCAAAGCAUAAUAAAUCAGAAUGAAUUUUA